AUGGGCAAGAGAUGGGUUAUGGAGAUGAGCCCCCAAGAAGCACGUAGAUUCAAGCUCCGACGCCACAACAGCAGGCCCAAGACGCGUCUGGACAAUCUCCCCGAGGAUGUGAUACAAAAGAUACUAUCGCGCUUGCCUCUAAAGGAGGUGGUGCAGAUAAGCACACUGUCGAGUGGGUGGAGACAUGUCUGGAGGUACCACCCAGAUCUAAUCUUCAGUGUUGAAAAAUUGUUUGAUGGCAAGGACAAGGGGGACCAAGAAUUUGUUACUAGUGUCAAUGAUAUCCUGAAGGAUCACUACUGUACUGCUGUGAACAAGUUUAAGGUGAAUUAUGGACUCUCUGAAGAACACGGUGAUGAUCUUGAUGGAUGGCUCAGUUUUGCUGUUCUAUCGAAGGCAAAGAACGUUGUUCUUGAUCUACGCCCUCCACCCAAAUGCCCGGACGAUGUCUACAACUUCCCUCUGCAUCUUUUUGAUGAUCGAAACAGCUCAUGUGUGCUGUCUCUCCGACUUGUCUUAGUGUGCCUAAGGCCAGCUCUGAAUUUCUGUGGCUUUGCAAACCUUCGAUCACUCAAAUUGCAUAGGGUUUAUGUAUCGAAGGGCCUCCAUUGCAUGCUCCCACACUGUGCUGUCCUUGAGUGGUUAAGUCUAACAGACUGUUUCAUGCCUUCCUUCACCAUGUCUGAGCCACUAGACCACCUGCAGUAUGCUUGUAUUCAGAAUUGCAGCCUACAAAGCAUGGAACUGCAUGCACCAAAUCUCACAGUAUUCAAUUAUUCAGAGCAGGAUGUGCCGAUUGUGCUUGGCAAAUUCCACAAGCUGACAAAGGCAAAAAUUGAAGUAUUAUCAGAUUCUGACAAUCUAGACUACACUUUUAGUCAUCUUGUUCGGGCUAUGUCUAAUGUGGAGGAAAUCUCCCUUAGAAUUCAUAUCGAAAAUGAGGCACGACAGUUCAUGACAGACAGCCGGUGUGAUUUUAUUAAUCUGAGGCAUCUCAGUAUAGAGGUUUUGGUGGACGGAGAUCCAGGUUGUUCAAGUGGGAUUCUUCGUUUGGCUUCUCUAUUGGAACUAACUCCCUCUCUUGAAGUGUUCAAUUUGCAUCAACUUUUUAGUCUCGUAGCCCUCCCUGGCAGUGGAUCGAGGGCGCCCGUGCGCGUCGUCGAGAAGGCGAUGCAGCGGGUCGAUAGCCAAUAUGGACAGGAUGGGCGACAGGGGUGUGAUGCUAAAAAUAAGAAAGAUUUCAAAGUCUAG
rnacentral:rRNA from 1 species